CAUGCUGUUUCCAACUAUUAAGUUAGCUCUCUACAAAUAUAUUAUUCCGCGAUCAGAGAAAUGCACAAUUAGAUGAAACAGAUAUUUGACUAUGGCUUUACGAGCACGGACCAGGGAGCACCUUUUAUUAACCUUAACCUGCUCCCGUUGACAACAGCGAGUAUUGCUGAUAGACAAUUCCCACAUCAUUCGGUAGUUUUUUAAUUGAAAGAGAAGUUGUUGACUAUAAAAAGACCAAACUAUAACAGUGAGGAUUUCGAGAAACUUAUCAAAUCUGAAAUGAAUGUAAGACCAAAUGAUGUCGCCCUUCCAAUCAAAUUGUGUAAGAUCUCUUCUGUCAUUCGAAAUAUAAGUUGUUCUCACUAAUUGUUCUUAAGAAGCUGAGCUCGAAAUGCCCUGUUUGGGACAACAACAGGAGAACGAGGAACGGCUGAGGGUCUCAACUAAAUAAGGAGUCACUUGAUUAAUGGACAGUAUAUUAGAGAUAUUCAUUUAAUAUGGAAACACAAUUGUACGGGUGCGGUUAAUUAUAAUCGCCGGCCAAACACUUCGAGAGAUAUCAGGAUCGACUCACUAUGUCGAAUUGCGUCGCUAUUUUCACGGUUACUUCAAAUCAGAAAUUGCGAGCGAGAUACAAAAACGUUAUCACGUUAACAAAACCGUUAGGUUGCUCUAGUCAAGUCGAAUAUCGAGGGCUACAACCAAAAAGGGCAGAUGCCUUUCACUCGAGUCCCCCGUAACUCUUCCUUCUCUCCUUUUAUACCCCAAAAGCCUAGCGAGCGCGCGAUCGGGAGAAUACCCCCAGAAUACCGGGCCUGGGUCGCGUAACGGGGCGCCGACCGACCAAUUAAUCGGGUGUCAUGCUUUCCCCGCGUGUUCGCCAGUCAGUUCGGUGGGGAAAAGGGGAAAAAUUUCUUACAAUUGUUAAAUCAUUAUAUGCUGGAGCGUAAAUUGGAUAAAGCUUAUAAAUAUGCCGCUAGUGUGGAGGCUAAUGUUCGUCACAGAAACAGCAUCUUGUGGUAUCAGCUAUUAUAUGAGUUAUUGACAAAGUGUAAAGAGACUAAAUCUUCUGAUUGGUCCUUCUGGUUUUUCUAUAUAUCUAUCUGUAUCAGAUAGAUGCAGUGCUAUGUCUCAAGGAACAAAGCUGUGAAAUAAACAAAAGCAUUUCAGAAGCAGCACAAAUAGUAUUUAAUUUUGAUCAAAACUUGUAUGAGAUGUAACUAAAAACCUUUUCUAAACAACACGCCUUUACGAAGCACUUGCUUACACAUAUGUGGGAAUAGUUUUAUUUGACAUGCUUAUUACUAUGCAAAACAAAACGUGAACAGGAAAGCCGGAGCAAAGUGGGAAGACUAUGUGUGCCUGUAUUAUUAUAAUCGCUUUACAUACAUAUCCGAUGGAAACUCGUACAAGCAUACACUUAUCGAUGCUGUCAAGCUGGUUACAUUCUUUAAAAUUAUGCUAGGGAUGAUACAAAGAAACUGUUAGAUAGAAUUGAUAAAUUUUGCACAGGACUUUGGAGAGAGUGUAUUUAUCAGAGAAUUUUUGUACCAGAACACAUCUCGACCAUAUGCAGAGCUCAUUCUUUUGUACUUAUUCAGCUGCUGAUCCACCUCUACGUUUUUGCAGAGCAAAUCAACUGAGACAUUACAGUCAAAAAACUCAUGGUUGUUUGCUACAGUCGCACAGAGAGAGAGGAAGUAUGCUUCUUUACUUACUAUACUUAUGAAAUGAGACCGUAUUUUGACUUACCCCCACCACUGAAAUUCUAAGGAGUUCGGUCUCCUGAACUGCGUUCCGAUUUUCCACCUGGUGGGUAAUGGAGUGAAUAGGUGAUAGGCAAAAUCUAACUAGUGUCUAGUGUCUAAGAGGAUUAUGGAAUCAGAACGCACUUGCCAUAAUUUUCCGGUGUGCGAAGUUUGAAAAUAAAUAGCAAUCCUCAAAUUAUUGGAAACAUGGAUGAACACCGGCGAGCUGUUGCACUUACUGCAAUUGCUUUCAGUAAUGAUUUUCUUCGUUGCAAUGUAUUUUUUAAUACAGACAGCAAAACUAGUGAUUCGGAUUUAGAUGAAGGAGAUAUAAAAAGAUUUCAGUUACGUGGAGUUCAACGAAAGCCUUCAAGAGUUGAAGGUUAUGUUGAAAGAAUCAUUCCGAGAAUGAACACAACAGUUUAAAAGACAUUUUCGUAUGAGCCCAGCAACUUAUGAAAAUCUGAAAGCAAAACUUGGUCCUGUGCUCUCAUUUUCUGAAGGAAAACUGUUAUUCCAGUAAGAAAACAAUUACUGGGAUCAUUAUGGUUAUUAGCAACACCUGAUUCUUAUCGUUCUGUAGGG